CCCCACCCCUUCUCAGCGAGUUCUCAACAUCAUCACCCCAAGUACAACACCCUGGGCAGGAGUCCCUGGGGCUCUCUUGACAAAGUGGGCAGCCCAAGACACCCUGAUGGUGAUCCCCUGGCUGGGCUGUGCUCCAUGAAAGGACAAGAGACACCUAAGACACCAAGAGACACCAAAGGUGAGGCAAGACCAUACAUACCUGAGGAACAGAAGAGCUGACUUCCUGAGGACAACCAGUUGAUGCACUUUGGUCUCCAAGUAGGACAUAAUGAAGGAUUAAUUGCAAAGGAUUAAGAUUCUCCAGAUUGCUAAAAUUCUGAACAAAUUGCUUUUAACAGCCUAAAGAUGGAACAAGUAGAAAUCUUUUUUGAAGGAUGUGGGGGUGUCCUAUGUCAUCUGCCAUUUAACAAGCUGACUUUAGAUAUGAUCUAAAGUUAAGGAUAUCCAGGUCAUUUCCCUUUGCCAUCCUCCAUCUCUAUUUUGGGAAUAGCCAUCUAAUCAAAAGUGUGAUAGAUGGAACAUGACUGGAGAAAAAAAGAAAGUUUCAGUUCUCCCAGCAAGUGGAAAGGUGACCUGCAAACAUCUGAACAAAAAAGGGAAGAAAGUUUAUUUUUAUGUGCUGAAUAUUCUGCACAGGAAGAGACACAGCACAUUUAGAGACUGCACAGGAGACACUUUAAACACCACCUACUCCAUAGUCCAUCCCAUUAAAUUCUGUGCACAGUUUUUCUCUUGAUCUCUGUCUGUGUACACAUAGAUAUAAAACCAGCUUUGCUAAUAGAGGGUCUUGUUUGAAAUGUGGUAGUUUUCCCAUUGUUUUCAAAGGGGUUUGGAUCCUCAAAAGAAUUUGCCUUUCCUGCUAUGAAAUCAGUUCUAUAAUACCUGGCCAAAGAGGGAACCAAGGAAUCUGAUUCUUUCAUAUUUCAGAUUUUCAGGCUCUUAAAAAAAUUGCAGCAGCCUCACUUGUUUUAUGAUAGUGUUUCAAAUUCAGAGUCCACUUUGGGGAAACUUGAAUGAUUUUAAAUUAUUUCUGGACAAAAUAAAUAUGGUAAAGCUGAGGCAAAAUAUUUUUAUUCAUGGAUGAAAAAGAAGAAAGGUUUUCCCAACCAGAUCUGCUUUUGAAAGAAGGAAAUUACUGUGGACUUUCCAGAAGACUUUAUUUUCUCUAAUGAGAUGUAUAUAUCUUUAUCAGUUUUGCAUAUUGUAUUUGCAGCCAGAGCUGCAAAGUCUUGGCUGCUGACCCAGUAACUCAGAUUUUGGGAGGUUUGAGAGUAAAGCAAGAGACAGUUGCCAGGAGGUUACUGCUAUGGAGCCAGAGGGUGACCUUUGACAAGAGGUGAAAUUCCCAGACUCAGUUUCAGGGAUUUUGCCAGAUUAGAGCCAAGUGGGAUCUACUCUCAUGGGGGAGCUGUUCUGGAACACCCAAAAAUCACCCUUGUGAUCUUCCUGCAUAUUUGGAAAAUGCUCCUUGUAAAACCUUGUCCAUGUUUUGUCAGAUCAUCUGAACAAACACUGUUCUACAAAGCAUUGCCUUCCAGAUUAAUGGGUCGGGGUGAUUCCUAUUUUUCUGUUGUUUCUCCUCUUAAUUUAAAAAGCGCUUCAUUGGAAAAUUGCAACUAGCUGUAAUAGAAACUGCAAAUUCGUUUCACAUAUGCCACCCCAGAGUCGCCAACUGGCGUGGUAAAUAAGUAACAAUUUAUAAAGUGAAGCAAUCUGAGAACAUUCCCCAGCAGUUAACACAUGGAAGGUAUGAAUAUGCAUGAGCCAUUUUCAGGUUGUUAUGGUGUACAUUUUCAUUCUGAAACAAUUAUAAAAAACAUUAUUAGAGAGGUGUUAAAUGUGUCAGAGAAGCAUUUGGCACAGCCAUUUUCACAGAGCUCUUUAUUUUGGGGCAUUGCUGUUUUCUUGUGAUUGGUUUAAAAAAAUCCAAUAAAAUAGUGCUGAGAAAAAAAAAUGUUUCUUGAUAGUAAUAAGCUGAUUUCCUGUGAGAGGAUUCAACUUAAACAGCCUGUUCCCAUUUAAGGUCUCAUUCAGGAAAUCAGUGCCUGUGUUUUCAGAAGCAGUCACCAAAGUUUAAAUCUGGCCUGGCCUGAUCUUCACUGGAUCCACUUGGAGUGAAAUGUGCCCAAUCCAGCCAAAUGAGCAAGAAUUUAGUGCAAAAAGUAAUGGUUUAGAUAGUUGUAAGCUGUGGGAAGUCCCUGGCUGAGUGAACUGGACUCUGAGUGGUCUCUCCUGC